rnacentral:rRNA from 1 species
AUUGAACGCUGGCGGCAUGCCUUACACAUGCAAGUCGAACGGCAGCACGGGUGCUUGCACCUGGUGGCGAGUGGCGAACGGGUGAGUAAUACAUCGGAACAUGUCCUGUAGUGGGGGAUAGCCCGGCGAAAGCCGGAUUAAUACCGCAUACGAUCUACAGAUGAAAGCGGGGGACCUUCGGGCCUCGCGCUAUAGGGUUGGCCGAUGGCUGAUUAGCUAGUUGGUGGGGUAAAGGCCUACCAAGGCGACGAUCAGUAGCUGGUCUGAGAGGGCGACCAGCCACACUGGAACUGAGACACGGCCCAGACUCCUACGGGAGGCAGCAGUGGGGAAUUUUGGACAAUGGGCGAAAGCCUGAUCCAGCAAUGCCGCGUGUGUGAAGAAGGCCUUCGGAUUGUAAAGCACUUUUGCCCGGAAAGAAAUCCUUGGCCCUAAUACGGUCGGGGGAUGACGGUACCGGAAGAAUAAGCACCGGCUAACUACGUG